UACGUAGGGGGCAAGCGUUGUCCGGAGUUACUGGGCGUAAAGCGCAUGCAGGCGGUCCGACAAGUUUGGAGUGACAGUUCCCGGCUUAACUGGGAAAGCGCUUCGAAAACUGCUGGACUUGAAGGCUUCAGAGGGACACGGAAUUCCGGGCGGAGUGGUGAAAUGCGUAGAUAUCCGGAGGAACACCAAAGGCGAAGGCAGUGUCCUGGGAAGCUCUUGACGCUCAGAUGCGAAAGCCAGGGGAGCGAACGGG
rnacentral:rRNA from 1 species